GACGAACGCUGGCGGCGUGCUUAACACAUGCAAGUCGAACGGCAAGGCCCUGCUUUUGUGGGGUGCUCGAGUGGCGAACGGGUGAGUAACACGUGAGUAACCUGCCCUUGACUUUGGGAUAACUUCCGGAAACUGGGGCUAAUACCGGAUAGGAGCUUCUGCUGCCUGGUGGUGGUUGGAAAGUUUCGGCGGUUGGGGAUGGACUCGCGGCUUAUCAGCUUGUUGGUGGGGUAGGGGCUUACCAAGGCUUUGACGGGAAGCCGGCCUGAGAGGGUGACCGGCCACAUUGGGACGAAGACACGGCCCAGACUCCUACGGGAGGCAGCAGUGGGGAAUAUUGCACAGUGGGCGGAAGCCUGAUGCAGCAACGCCGCGUUCGGGAUGACGGCCUUCGGGUUGUAAACCGCUUUCACCUGUGACGAAGCGUGAGUGACGGUAAUGGGUAAAGAAGCACCGGCUAACUACGUG
rnacentral:rRNA from 1 species